rnacentral:ncRNA from 1 species
CUUACCUGGGGAGAUCCUGAUGAGUGCAAGCUCCGUCAGGAAGUCAGCAGAAGCCAUAGUACCUAGCAGUAACGAGCUGCAUUAGUUGCAGAGGUCUCACAAGUUAGGGAAGGGC